GAUGAACGCUGGCGGCGUGCCUAAUACAUGCAAGUCGAGCGAACGGACGAGAAGCUUGCUUUUCUGAUGUUAGCGGCGGACGGGUGAGUAACACGUGGAUAACCUACCUAUAAGACUGGGAUAACUUCGGGAAACCGGAGCUAAUACCGGAUAAUAUUUUGAACCGCAUGGUUCAAAAGUAAAAGACGGUCUUGCUGUCACUUAUAGAUGGAUCCGCGCUGCAUUAGCUAGUUGGUAAGGUAACGGCUUACCAAGGCAACGAUGCAUAGCCGACCUGAGAGGGUGAUCGGCGACACUGGAACUGAGACACGGUCCAGACUCCUACGGGAGGCAGCAGUAGGGAAUCUUCCGCAAUGGGCGAAAGCCUGACGGAGCAACGCCGCGUGAGUGAUGAAGGUCUUCGGAUCGUAAAACUCUGUUAUUAGGGAAGAACAUAUGUGUAAGUAACUGUGCACAUCUUGACGGUACCUAAUCAGAAAGCCACGGCUAACUACGUG
rnacentral:rRNA from 1 species